CAGGAUGGAAAUAUGAGAAAUAAAAGAUAUAAAUAAAUAAACCUAAUUUUUGCUCCAUUUUAUUUAUUUUUCACCAAUCUUUCUAUUUUUUAUUUUUAUUUUUUCUUUUCAAUCAAACACAUUUAACUUAUAAAACUUUAUCUAAUUUACUUUUUACUAACUUCUUUGGUCGAUGAAUUUUAUUUUUCUUCUUUUGAAAUAGAUGAUGUAACUUGU
rnacentral:lncRNA from 1 species